GAUGAACGCUGGCGGCGUGCCUAAUACAUGCAAGUCGAGCGAACAGACGAGGAGCUUGCUCCUCUGACGUUAGCGGCGGACGGGUGAGUAACACGUGGAUAACCUACCUAUAAGACUGGGAUAACUUCGGGAAACCGGAGCUAAUACCGGAUAAUAUAUUGAACCGCAUGGUUCAAUAGUGAAAGACGGUUUUGCUGUCACUUAUAGAUGGAUCCGCGCCGCAUUAGCUAGUUGGUAAGGUAACGGCUUACCAAGGCGACGAUGCGUAGCCGACCUGAGAGGGUGAUCGGCCACACUGGAACUGAGACACGGUCCAGACUCCUACGGGAGGCAGCAGUAGGGAAUCUUCCGCAAUGGGCGAAAGCCUGACGGAGCAACGCCGCGUGAGUGAUGAAGGUCUUCGGAUCGUAAAACUCUGUUAUUAGGGAAGAACAAAUGUGUAAGUAACUAUGCACGUCUUGACGGUACCUAAUCAGAAAGCAACGGCUAACUACGUG
rnacentral:rRNA from 1 species